rnacentral:tRNA from 1 species
AUCUUAAUAGUUUAUAUAAAACCCUAGCCUGUGGAGCUAAAGAAUAGUUUAAGAUA